CAGUAGCCGCGGUAAUACGGAGGGUGCAAGCGUUAAUCGGAAUUACUGGGCGUAAAGCGCACGCAGGCGGUCUGACAAGUCAGAUGUGAAAUCCCCGGGCUUAACCUGGGAACUGCAUUUGAAACUGUCAGGCUGGAGUCUUGUAGAGGGGGGUGGAUUUCCAGGUGUAGCGGUGAAAUGCGUAGAGAUCUGGAGGAAUACCGGUGGCGAAGGCGGCCCCCUGGACAAAGACUGACGCUCAGGUGCGAAAGCGUGGGGAGCAAACAGGAUUAGAUACCCCGGUAGUCCCUGUCUCUUAUAA
rnacentral:rRNA from 1 species